rnacentral:rRNA from 1 species
AACGAACGCUGGCGGCAUGCCUAACACAUGCAAGUCGAACGAGACCUUCGGGUCUAGUGGCGCACGGGUGCGUAACGCGUGGGAACCUGCCCUUAGGUUCGGAAUAACUCCCCGAAAGGGGUGCUAAUACCGGAUAAUGUCUUCGGACCAAAGAUUUAUCGCCUUUGGAUGUGCCCGCGUUGGAUUAGCUAGUUGGUAGGGUAAAAGCCUACCAAGGCGACGAUCCAUAGCUGGUCUGAGAGGAUGAUCAGCCACACUGGGACUGAGACACGGCCCAGACUCCUACGCGAGGCAGCAGUGGGGAAUAUUGGACAAUGGGCGAAAUCAUGAUCCAGCAAGGCCGCGUGAGUGAUGAAGGCCUUAGGGUUGUAAAGCUCUUUUACCCGGGAUGAUAAUGACAGUACCGGGAGAAUAAGCUCCGGCUAACUCCGUG